rnacentral:sRNA from 1 species
CACAAGUAUAUCAGAGUUGGCGGUGGAUACAGACAUGGCUACUGGUAUAUCAAGUGUUUAUUAGAGCAAUUAGAGAUACAGAGACAAAAAGAGUUACAGAGACUGCAAAGGCUUGAAGCUAUCAAGGAACAUCGUGUUAAAGCCAUUAAAACAUACAUUAGAACCAAAAGUGGAAGGCUGAUUGAAAAGAUCAUCUUUCUGUCAGAAGAAGAUUAUGAAGCAUUUAAGUCUGGCAAGAAUGUAGAAGGUACUC